rnacentral:rRNA from 1 species
GUUAUAUGGUCAAGUGAAGAAGCGCAUACGGUGGAUGCCUUGGCAGUCAGAGGCGAUGAAAGACGUGGUAGCCUGCGAAAAGCUUCGGGGAGUCGGCAAACAGACUUUGAUCCGGAGAUCUCUGAAUGGGGGAACCCACCUAGGAUAACCUAGGUAUCUUGUACUGAAUCCAUAGGUGCAAGAGGCGAACCAGGGGAACUGAAACAUCUAAGUACCCUGAGGAAAAGAAAUCAACCGAGAUUCCCUUAGUAGUGGCGAGCGAACGGGGAUUAGCCCUUAAGCUUCAUUGAUUUUAGCGGAACGCUCUGGAAAGUGCGGCCAUAGUGGGUGAUAGCCCCGUACGCGAAAGGAUCUUUGAAGUGAAAUCGAGUAGGACGGAGCACGAGAAACUUUGUCUGAACAUGGGGGACAUCCUCCAAGGCUAAAUACUACUGACUGACCGAUAGUGAACCAGUACCGUGAGGGAAAGGCGAAAAGAACCCGGAGAGGGGAGUGAAAUAGAACCUGAAACCGUAUGCGUACAAGCAGUGGGAGCCUACUUGUUAGGUGACUGCGUACCUUUUGUAUAAUGGGUCAGCGACUUAUAUUCAGUGGCAAGCUUAACCGUAUAGGGUAGGCGUAGCGAAAGCGAGUCUUAAUAGGGGCGUUUAGUCGCUGGGUAUAGACCCGAAACCGGGCGAUCUAUCCAUGAGCAGGUUGAAGGUUAGGUAACACUGACUGGAGGACCGAACCCACUCCCGUUGAAAAGGUAGGGGAUGACUUGUGGAUCGGAGUGAAAGGCUAAUCAAGCUCGGAGAUAGCUGGUUCUCCUCGAAAGCUAUUUAGGUAGCCCUCAUGUAUCACUCUGGGGGGUAGAGCACUGUUUCGGCUAGGGGGUCAUCCCGACUUACCAAACCGAUGCAAACUCCGAAUACCCAGAAGUGCCGAGCAUGGGAGACACACGGCGGGUGCUAACGUCCGUCGUGAAAAGGGAAACAACCCAGACCGCCAGCUAAGGUCCCAAAGUUGUGGUUAAGUGGUAAACGAUGUGGGAAGGCUUAGACAGUAGGAGGUUGGCUUUAGAAGCAGCCAUCCUUUAAAGAAAGCGUAAUAGCUCACUAGUCGAGUCGGCCUGCGCGGAAGAUGUAACGGGGCUCAAACCACACACCGAAGCUGCGGGUGUCACGUAAGUGACGCGGUAGAGGAGCGUUCUGUAAGCCUGUGAAGGUGAAGUUGAGAAGCUUGCUGGAGGUAUCAGAAGUGCGAAUGCUGACAUGAGUAACGACAAUGGGUGUGAAAAACACCCACGCCGAAAAGACCAAGGGUUCCUGCGCAACGUUAAUCGACGCAGGGUUAGUCGGUUCCUAAGGCGAGGCUGAAAAGCGUAGUCGAUGGGAAACAGGUUAAUAUUCCUGUACUUCUGGUUACUGCGAUGGAGGGACGGAGAAGGCUAGGCCAGCUUGGCGUUGGUUGUCCAAGUUUAAGGUGGUAGGCUGAAAUCUUAGGUAAAUCCGGGGUUUCAAGGCCGAGAGCUGAUGACGAGUCGUCUUUUAGAUGACGAAGUGGUUGAUGCCAUGCUUCCAAGAAAAGCUUCUAAGCUUCAGGUAACCAGGAACCGUACCCCAAACCGACACAGGUGGUCGGGUAGAGAAUACCAAGGCGCUUGAGAGAACUCGGGUGAAGGAACUAGGCAAAAUGGCACCGUAACUUCGGGAGAAGGUGCGCCGGCUAGGGUGAAGGAUUUACUCCGUAAGCUCUGGCUGGUCGAAGAUACCAGGCCGCUGCGACUGUUUAUUAAAAACACAGCACUCUGCAAACACGAAAGUGGACGUAUAGGGUGUGACGCCUGCCCGGUGCCGGAAGGUUAAUUGAUGGGGUUAGCGCAAGCGAAGCUCUUGAUCGAAGCCCCGGUAAACGGCGGCCGUAACUAUAACGGUCCUAAGGUAGCGAAAUUCCUUGUCGGGUAAGUUCCGACCUGCACGAAUGGCGUAACGAUGGCGGCGCUGUCUCCACCCGAGACUCAGUGAAAUUGAAAUCGCUGUGAAGAUGCAGUGUAUCCGCGGCUAGACGGAAAGACCCCGUGAACCUUUACUGUAGCUUUGCACUGGACUUUGAGCCUGCUUGUGUAGGAUAGGUGGGAGGCUUUGAAGCGUGGACGCCAGUUCGCGUGGAGCCAUCCUUGAAAUACCACCCUGGCAUGCUUGAGGUUCUAACUCUGGUCCGUGAUCCGGAUCGAGGACAGUGUAUGGUGGGCAGUUUGACUGGGCGGUCUCCUCCUAAAGAGUAACGGAGGAGUACGAAGGUGCGCUCAGACCGGUCGGAAAUCGGUCGCAGAGUAUAAAGGCAAAAGCGCGCUUGACUGCGAGACAGACACGUCGAGCAGGUACGAAAGUAGGUCUUAGUGAUCCGGUGGUUCUGUAUGGAAGGGCCAUCGCUCAACGGAUAAAAGGUACUCCGGGGAUAACAGGCUGAUACCGCCCAAGAGUUCAUAUCGACGGCGGUGUUUGGCACCUCGAUGUCGGCUCAUCACAUCCUGGGGCUGAAGCCGGUCCCAAGGGUAUGGCUGUUCGCCAUUUAAAGUGGUACGCGAGCUGGGUUUAGAACGUCGUGAGACAGUUCGGUCCCUAUCUGCCGUGGACGUUUGAGAUUUGAGAGGGGCUGCUCCUAGUACGAGAGGACCGGAGUGGACGAACCUCUGGUGUUCCGGUUGUCACGCCAGUGGCAUUGCCGGGUAGCUAUGUUCGGAAAAGAUAACCGCUGAAAGCAUCUAAGCGGGAAACUUGCCUCAAGAUGAGAUCUCACUGGGAACUUGAUUCCCCUGAAGGGCCGUCGAAGACUACGACGUUGAUAGGCUGGGUGUGUAAGCGUUGUGAGGCGUUGAGCUAACCAGUACUAAUUGCCCGUGAGGCUUGACCAUAUAACACCCAAACA